CCAGCCCAGACUAUCCCCACCGCCGGGCCGCCAGCCUGGCUGCUGUCUCUCCGGGAGCCGCUGCCAAGCCGUCAGCUCCUUUCAUCGCCCCAAGGCAGCCAGAGGGAGCGCCAGCAGCAGCCUUGGCACACGCCCGCUCCGGCCACUCCCGGCGUGUUCUCAGACACAGACGCCAGCCCAGCGGGGCGGGCACCCAGCUCCGAGCCCACGGCUGCAACAAGGAAGGGUCACUGGGGGACCCAGCCCCCUCAUUACACGUCAGGAAACCUGGGCUGGGGAUCAGCCAGGCCUCCUUUGAAACUGUCUAGCCAAAUCAGCCCGUCAGAGUGGCGAUCAGAUGUCCAUGGGAGGCGGUUCCCUCUGCUGGAAUGUUCUCCAUCCCUCCCCCACCGGCCAGCCCCUCAGGGCUCAGCGAGGGCAGGCCCUUCCUCAGAGGCCCUGACCUUCACCCAGGGCCAAGCUCCCUCUUAGCACUCAUAGCACCCAGCCCAGGCGCCUGGCUGUCAGCCCAGAUGGGCACCUAAGCUAAGGAAGCUUGGGGGAGGGACGGGGGACCUCGCAGGGCUCCCCGUGGGUCCACUUGGUGGUCCUGCUCCUCCCGACAUGUGGGCACAGGCUGGCCUUCCAGGACUUCCGUGUUUGGCUCCUGGAGGCAGGACCCCUGUCCCCAUCCUGACUCCGGGCACCCAGAGGCAGCCGAGAGCUGGGCAGGGGGAUACCCAACUCCACGGAGAUGCCCAUGGCCUCAGGAAACUCUGUCCCACGCCCUUGGCUUUGAGGUGAGGAUAAGAGAGCCCAGCCCUGGCUCCAGGAUCACCUCCAUAGAGUCCGUCCUGGGUCUCUGAGCCUUCACUUCCUCCUCUGCCAAACGGAUUCUGAUUCUUCCUGGUCAGGCUGCUGACAGAAGGGAAAACAAGCAGAAGCAGCUCAUCAAAGGACACACAGCACAUGGGAGGCAGAGCUGGGACCAGGGCUAAGGACCCUGGUAGCCAACCCAGCAUUGUCUCCUCCUGACCUUGUCCGCGCUCCAGGUGAUGCUGGGAGUGAAGGUCACCGCCACAAGGGAGUAAGAGCAUCUCUGGUUAGACUUCCUCUCCCCAGGCCUCAGCCCCUCCAUCCAGGAGCCUGAGCUGGGCCUCUGCUUGGCCGUGAUGCCCUCUCUCUGGAUCCACCCAAUGAGGUCAAGAAGGUGCCCCAGCUCUCCCGGCGAGGGCUGGGAUGUCCUGGGUGGAUGCCCACUCUGGUCAGUUGCCAGCAUCUAGACUCCCCACACACCAGCAACUUCAGGAAGGAGGCACAAGGGCAGACAGGCUCUCAGAUGGGCACAAUUCCAGGGCCGUCAUGGCUUCCGGGAGCUUGAUGGGGCCAGAGGAUCGAUGUGCCUAUCUCCCAGGGCUGCUGGCAGGAUUAGAUAGGUUGCCCUUCGAACAGUCACCUGGAAGCAGGGGGAGGAGCCUGUUCAUGUUGGGCGUUGACCAACAAGAACCAGCAAGAGAGAUGAAGAUGGAUCUGCCCUCGCACAGCUGCAGCAGACUCGCACACUUGGAGGCAACAUGUGACGUGGAGAGACACACUUUAUGUCCAUGUUGUUGGGGGAGCAGCCUGUGCCGUCCCUCGGUGAGCUGGCAUCCUCCUGGCCCUGCUGAGCAAGUGAGCAGAGAUGCGGGGCCAGCCCGGCUCCCAGCCCUGCUACUCCAGCCUCAUCAGCCCCACUCCCUCUCUGGCCUUGCCUCCCUCCUUCAGCACCACCCCGGACUGCGCCAGCAAACCCCGCUCCAUCCCUCAUCCCUUUAACAUCCCUUGGCCCUUGCGCCAAGCCCUGUGCUCAAGCCAGUGGGUGCAGGUGAAGGAGCUGGGUCCCUGUGCAGGGAGAGACAGAAGCUGUAAGAAGAGGCCAGCAGCCAGACACCCAGCCCCGCCGCUCCCCUGCUGGGUGACCUCGGGCAAGUCACUGCAUUGCUCUGGGCCUGUUUCUUCAUCUGUAAAACGGGAUGAUGCCAACCCUAACCUCCCCCUCGUGGGACCAGUCGAGAGCCACAGCACCUACAGGAGCCCCAGGGUCCUGAGGGAACCACCUUGAGCCUCAGUCUCCUCAUCUGUAAACCGAGGCUGAUGACUCCAGGCCCAUGUCACAGGACCGCAGAGAGAAAUGCCCGACAUUGGGACUGUGGGGUCACAGGAACGUGGUCACAACAUCCGAGCACCUUCCCCAGACAGACCCCAGGCUGGGCACCGAGGAAGGGUUGCUUGCACCUGAGCUGGGCCUGAGCUGGGCCUGAGCUGGGCCUUGAAGGAGAAGCAAAGUCCACCACUCCCUGCAGGGAGCUGUGGGCAGACACACCCCAAAAAACAAAUACACUGCGAUGGGCGCCAGGACAAGCCACCGAGAGCAGCAG
rnacentral:lncRNA from 1 species